CGACGUAAAGAACUUGCCUCACAGCUAGGGACAACAUUUAGAAAUGAAUGCUAAUACCUGAUAUUAUGAUUUUAAGGCAUCUUAGAAUUAUGAAAGCUAUAAGCACUGUGAGAGAGCUUCGCGUCCCAUUAGCUAGUUGGAGAGGUAACAGCUCACCAAGGCGAUGAUGGGUAGCCGGCCUGAGAGGGUGAACGGCCACAAGGGGACUGAGACACGGCCCUU
rnacentral:rRNA from 1 species